rnacentral:rRNA from 1 species
UACGGGGGGGGCAAGCGUUGUUCGGAAUUACUGGGCGUAAAGGGCGCGUAGGCGGUUUGCUAAGUUGGAUGUGAAAACUCUGGGCUUAACCCAGAGCCUGCAUCCAAAACUGGCAAACUUGAGUACUGGAGGGGAAAGCGGAAUUCCUGGUGUAGCGGUGAAAUGCGUAGAUAUCAGGAGGAACACCAGUGGCGAAGGCGGCGACCUGGACGGACACUGACGCUGAGACGCGAAAGCGUGGGGAGCAAACAGG